GACGAACGCUGGCGGCGUGCUUAACACAUGCAAGUCGAACGAGCGGCGGACGGGCGAAUAAUUUCUGGGCAACUGCCUGAUGUAGGGGGCUAAGUACUGGAAACGGUAGAUACUACCGCAUACCAUCAGAUGUGGUCCGAGGGGAUGAGGUAGUCGGUGGGGUAAUGGCUCACCUAGGGGACGAUCCCUAGCUGGUCUGAGAGGAUGACCAGCCACACUGGAACUGAGACACGGUCCAGACUCCGACGGGAGGCAGCAGUGGGGAAUAUUGCACAAUGGGCGCAAGCCUGAUGCAGCAAUGCCGCGUGUGUGAAGAAGGCCUUCGGGUUGUAAAGCACUUUCAGCGAGGAGGCGGUACUCGCAGAAGAAGCACCGGCUAACUCCGUGCCAGCAGCCGCGGUAAUUC
rnacentral:rRNA from 1 species